rnacentral:rRNA from 1 species
AUUGAACGCUGGCGGCAGGCUUAACACAUGCAAGUCGAGCGGGGUGAUGGUGCUUGCACUAUCACUUAGCGGCGGACGGGUGAGUAAUGCUUAGGAAUCUGCCUAUUAGUGGGGGACAACAUCUCGAAAGGGAUGCUAAUACCGCAUACGUCCUACGGGAGAAAGCAGGGGAUCACUUGUGACCUUGCGCUAAUAGAUGAGCCUAAGUCGGAUUAGCUAGUUGGUGGGGUAAAGGCCUACCAAGGCGACGAUCUGUAGCGGGUCUGAGAGGAUGAACCGCCACACUGGGACUGAGACACGGCCCAGACUCCUACGGGAGGCAGCAGUGGGGAAUAUUGGACAAUGGGGGGAACCCUGAUCCAGCCAUGCCGCGUGUGUGAAGAAGGCCUUAUGGUUGUAAAGCACUUUAAGCGAGGAGGAGGCUUACCUAGUUAAUACCUGGGAUAAGUGGAUGUUACUCGCAGAAUAAGCACCGGCUAACUCUGUGCCAGCCGCCGCCGUAA